UUUGUCUCCGUUUCUGAAGGGUUAAGUGUUACUGACUUGGUUGGGCAUAGACUUGAGCUAUUCUGUAUAGGUCUUCCAUAUCUCCGUUUUUUCUGCUUUCUGCAGAAGAUGAGCUUGACGCUGCUUCUAGCAUGGCCUGCACUUGAAUUGGAUAUGUUGAUUCAAUGUUUUCUAAUAUAUAUUGAAGUUUCUCAUUUAACUCU
rnacentral:lncRNA from 1 species